GGGGGGCGGCUGCCCUGGCUUUCCCGCCCUCCGAGGUGCGGGGCAAGAGCGGCCUGCGGAGACCCUGGGAACCGCGGUGCUUUCCUGGGCAGCCUCUUAGCCGCUCCCGUGGGGCCACACUGAAACGAGCGAGUCUUUGCCCUCACUGCCUGCCAACCUGCGUGAGCUGUUUCCCGCACUUUCUGCCCGCGGGCCUCAGUAUCAGGGUCCAGGGGAAGGAGGGCACCUGCUUUGCACCCUCCCUGCGAGCGGCCUCCGAGGCAAGCAUUAUUGACUUUGGGAUAAAGACAAUCUGGAUUCAAGGCCAUAGUCGACAUUUGGGAGAGGUCAAUGGAAGAGCCACAAGAGAACCAGGCAGUGCACCUGGUUUCCCAGCAACUCAAAGGCAACAGA